rnacentral:rRNA from 1 species
AACGAACGCUGGCGGCAGGCUUAACACAUGCAAGUCGAACGCCCCGCAAGGGGAGUGGCAGACGGGUGAGUAACGCGUGGGAAUCUACCCAUCUCUGCGGAAUAGCUCCGGGAAACUGGAAUUAAUACCGCAUACGCCCUACGGGGGAAGGAUUUAUCGGGGAUGGAUGAGCCUGCGUUGGAUUAGCUAGUUGGUGGGGUAAAGGCCUACCAAGGCGACGAUCCAUAGCUGGUCUGAGAGGAUGAUCAGCCACAUUGGGACUGAGACACGGCCCAAACUCCUACGGGGGGCAGCAGUGGGGAAUAUUGGACAAUGGGCGCAAGCCUGGUCCAGCCAUGCCGCGUGAGUGAUGAAGGCCUUAGGGUUGUAAAGCUCUUUCACCGGUGAAGAUAAUGACGGUAACCGGAGAAGAAGCCCCGGCUAACUUCGUGCCAGCCGCCGCCGUAA